rnacentral:rRNA from 1 species
UCAAAAUCAAGGUAGGAACUCCCGCUAC